UCCUAAGGUAGCGAAAUUCCUUGUCGGGUAAGUUCCGACCUGCACGAAUGGCGUAAUGAUGGCCAGGCUGUCUCCACCCGAGACUCAGUGAAAUUGAACUCGCUGUGAAGAUGCAGUGUACCCGCGGCAAGACGGAAAGACCCCGUGAACCUUUACUAUAGCUUGACACUGAACAUUGAGCCUUGAUGUGUAGGAUAGGUGGGAGGCUUUGAAGCGUGGACGCCAGUCUGCGUGGAGCCGACCUUGAAAUACCACCCUUUAAUGUUUGAUGUUCUAACGUGGACCCGUAAUCCGGGUUGCGGACAGUGUCUGGUGGGUAGUUUGACUGGGGCGGUCUCCUCCUAAAGAGUAACGGAGGAGCACGAAGGUUGGCUAAUCCUGGUCGGACAUCAGGAGGUUAGUGCAAUGGCAUAAGCCAGCUUGACUGCGAGCGUGACGGCGCGAGCAGGUGCGAAAGCAGGUCAUAGUGAUCCGGUGGUUCUGAAUGGAAGGGCCAUCGCUCAACGGAUAAAAGGUACUCCGGGGAUAACAGGCUGAUACCGCCCAAGAGUUCAUAUCGACGGCGGUGUUUGGCACCUCGAUGUCGGCUCAUCACAUCCUGGGGCUGAAGUAGGUCCCAAGGGUAUGGCUGUUCGCCAUUUAAAGUGGUACGCGAGCUGGGUUUAGAACGUCGUGAGACAGUUCGGUCCCUAUCUGCCGUGGGCGCUGGAGAACUGAGGGGGGCUGCUCCUAGUACGAGAGGACCGGAGUGGACGCAUCACUGGUGUUCGGGUUGUCAUGCCAAUGGCACUGCCCGGUAGCUAAAUGCGGAAGAGAUAAGUGCUGAAAGCAUCUAAGCACGAAACUUGCCCCGA
rnacentral:rRNA from 1 species